GAUGAACGCUGGCGGCGUGCCUAACACAUGCAAGUCGAGCGAAGCGCUUAAAUUAGCUUUCUUCGGAAUGACGAUUUUUGUGACUGAGCGGCGGACGGGUGAGUAACGCGUGGGUAACCUGCCUCAUACAGGGGGAUAACAGUUAGAAAUGACUGCUAAUACCGCAUAAGACCCCAGCUUCGCAUGAAGCGGUGGUAAAAACUCCGGUGGUAUGAGAUGGACCCGCGUCUGAUUAGCUAGUUGGUAAGGUAACGGCUUACCAAGGCGACGAUCAGUAGCCGACCUGAGAGGGUGACCGGCCACAUUGGGACUGAGACACGGCCCAGACUCCUACGGGAGGCAGCAGUGGGGAAUAUUGCACAAUGGGGGAAACCCUGAUGCAGCGACGCCGCGUGAAGGAUGAAGUAUUUCGGUAUGUAAACUUCUAUCAGCAGGGAAGAAAGUGACGGGACCUGACUAAGAAGCCCCGGCUAACUACGU
rnacentral:rRNA from 1 species